rnacentral:rRNA from 1 species
UACGAAGGGGGGCUAGCGUUGUUCGGAAUCACUGGGCGUAAAGCGCACGCAGGCGGGUCUUUAAGUCAGGGGUGAAAUCCUGGAGCUCAACUCCAGAACUGCCUUUGAUACUGAGGAUCUUGAGUUCGGGAGAGGUGAGUGGAACUGCGAGUGUAGAGGUGAAAUUCGUAGAUAUUCGCAAGAACACCAGUGGCGAAGGCGGCUCACUGGCCCGAUACUGACGCUGAGGCACGAAAGCGUGGGGAGCAAACAGG